rnacentral:rRNA from 1 species
AGAGUUUGAUCAUGGCUCAGGACGAACGCUGGCGGCGUGCUUAACACAUGCAAGUCGAACGGAAAGGCCCUUCGGGGUACUCGAGUGGCGAACGGGUGAGUAACACGUGGGUGAUCUGCCCUGCACUUUGGGAUAAGCCUGGGAAACUGGGUUUAAUACCGAAUAGGACCACGCGCUUCAUGGUGUGUGGUGGAAAGCUUUUGCGGUGUGGGAUGGGCCCGCGGCCUAUCAGCUUGUUGGUGGGGUAAUGGCCUACCAAGGCGACGACGGGUAGCCGGCCUGAGAGGGUGACCGGCCACACUGGGACUGAGAUACGGCCCAGACUCCUACGGGAGGCAGCAGUGGGGAAUAUUGCACAAUGGGCGCAAGCCUGAUGCAGCGACGCCGCGUGAGGGAUGACGGCCUUCGGGUUGUAAACCUCUUUCAAUAGGGACGAAGCGCAAGUGACGGUACCUAUAGAAGAAGCACCGGCCAACUACGUGCCAGCAGCCGCGGUAAUACGUAGGGUGCGAGCGUUGUCCGGAAUUACUGGGCGUAAAGAGCUCGUAGGUGGUUUGUCGCGUUGUUCGUGAAAGCUCACAGCUUAACUGUGGGCGUGCGGGCGAUACGGGCAGACUAGAGUACUGCAGGGGAGACUGGAAUUCCUGGUGUAGCGGUGGAAUGCGCAGAUAUCAGGAGGAACACCGGUGGCGAAGGCGGGUCUCUGGGCAGUAACUGACGCUGAGGAGCGAAAGCGUGGGGAGCGAACAGGAUUAGAUACCCUGGUAGUCCAA